UGUUAAACAACAAGUACCUGGAUACUUAAUCGAUGCACACAGGUGCCUUCUUAUGCAACCUGCCACGUGCUCCCGCCCGCGCGCACUUCACACGAGCGUAGUGUUUGUGCUAAGAAUUUAGUAACCUGCCGCCAAUAAGUUUGGCGAGAGAGUCAAUUUUAAGACAUCAACGUUCGGUGCGAAAUAUUUAUUGAAUUCCAUAGCCAUGCGACUCAUAUUCAGGUUAUGUUAUCAGGAGUCACUCGCACAAAUUGACCACAGAUUAUUAAGAAAACCAGUUUGUGCAACGUUCAGAAAUAUGCUGAUUAGUUAAGUGAUCCAACUUUUUAUUUUCAAAUAAAUACUAGUAAUUGUAACAUAUUAAGAGCAUUGUUAUUUUGCA